rnacentral:rRNA from 1 species
GAUGAACGCUGGCGGCGUGCCUAAUACAUGCAAGUCGAGCGAACGGACGAGAAGCUUGCUUCUCUGAUGUUAGCGGCGGACGGGUGAGUAACACGUGGAUAACCUACCUAUAAGACUGGGAUAACUUCGGGAAACCGGAGCUAAUACCGGAUGAUAUUUUGAACCGCAUGGUUCAAAAGUGAAAGACGGUCUUGCUGUCACUUAUAGAUGGAUCUGCGCUGCAUUAGCUGGUUGGUAAGGUAACGGCCUACCAAGGCAACGAUGCAUAGCCGACCUGAGAGGGUGGUCGGCCACACUGGAACUGAGACACGGUCCAGACUCCUACGGGAGGCAGCAGUAGGGAAUCUUCCGCAAUGGGCGAAAGCCUGACGGAGCAACGCCGCGUGAGUGAUGAAGGUCUUCGGAUCGUAAAACUCUGUUAUUAGGGAAGAACAUAUGUGUAAGUAACUGUGCACAUCUUGACGGUACCUAAUCAGAAAGCCACGGCUAACUACGUG